UACGUAGGGUGCAAGCGUUGUCCGGAAUUAUUGGGCGUAAAGAGCUCGUAGGCGGUCUGUCGCGUCGAAUGUGAAAACCCGGGGCUCAACCCCGGGCCUGCAUUCGAUACGGGCGGGCUAGAGUUCGGUAGGGGAGACUGGAAUUCCUGGUGUAGCGGUGAAAUGCGCAGAUAUCAGGAGGAACACCGGUGGCGAAGGCGGGUCUCUGGGCCGAUACUGACGCUGAGGAGCGAAAGCGUGGGGAGCGAACAGG
rnacentral:rRNA from 1 species